rnacentral:rRNA from 1 species
CGGUAAUACGGAGGAUCCAAGCGUUAUCCGGAAUCAUUGGGUUUAAAGGGUCCGUAGGCGGUCUAAUAAGUCAGCAACAGGAUCCUUCCGCUUAACGGGAGAACGGCCAUUGAUACUGUCAGACUUGAAUUAUUAGGAAGUAACUAGAAUAUGUAGUGUAGCGGUGAAAUGCUUAGAGAUUACAUGGAAUACCAAUUGCGAAGGCAGGUUACUACUAAUGGAUUGACGUCGAUGGACGAAAAUGUGGGUAGCGAACAGGACCGAGCGUUUCAACAGCCUGUGCCGUAAACGAUGGAUACUAGCUGUUGGGAGCAAUCUCAGUGGCUAAACGAAAGUGAUAAGUAUCCCACCUGGGGAGUACGUUCGCAAGAAUGAA